rnacentral:rRNA from 1 species
UGGGGAAUCUUGCACAAUGGGGGCAACCCUGAUGCAGCGACGCCGCGUGAGCGAUGAAGGUUUUCGAAUCGUAAAGCUCUGUCCUAUGGGAAGAUAAUGACGGUACCAUAGGAGGAAGCCCCGGCUAACUACGUGCCAGCAGCCGCGGUAAUACGUAGGGGGCGAGCGUUGUCCGGAAUUGCUGGGCGUAAAGGGUUCGCAGGCGGCAUGGCAAGUCCGAUGUAAAAGGCGAAGGCUCAACCUUCGUAAGCAUCGGAAACUGUCAAGCUUGAGUGAAGGAGAGGCAAGUGGAAUUCCUAGUGUAGCGGUGGAAUGCGUAGAUAUUAGGAGGAAUACCGGUGGCGAAGGCGACUUGCUGGACUUCAACUGACGCUGAGGAACGAAAGCGUGGGUAGCAAACAGG